CUUCUUGGCUUUUGAACCCAGCCCAGCAAGAUUACCAGAUCUAAGGUUUGUGUAAUAACAGUACAAGUCAUGAAGCUGUGAAGUCGUUGGUACUGUUGUCAGUCCCUAAGCCUGCAGAGCAGUUGUUUUUUUGCUGUCUGAAACUGAAAUCUCAUCUGCAAGCCAUUGCUUCUAAGUGAGUGGCUGCAGGAACCGGGGGUGUGAAGCUUUGUAAUGACUUGCCAUAUGACCUCUCGCCUCGCAGUGCUAGGAAAGGAAGUAAAGCUGAGAAUUCCUGGUCCCCAGCCCUUGAUUUAAACUUCUCCAUCUUAAGGAACACAUCAGGUACCCAGUGUUGGUCUGAGCUGCAGAGAGUAAAAAGAGAGGGAAGAUGCAGACAACCGUCUGUAUCCCUAUUUGAGAAAACAGUUUGAAAUGUAAAGAAUAUUCUUCAUCAAGGAGAACCUUAAAUAUCAUGGAUUAAUGCCAGAUUGGUCAACGGAAGUUUUGGACCUUAGCUGCCAGAGAGCUGCGUGCAUGGUGUUACCAUCACAUCCACUGAAUGUGCUGGAGCUUUCCUGUCAAGGUUUUAAUUUCCUGCCAGUGAUUUUAUUUUUAAUUUUUUUGAGACAUUAGAAGGUCUUUAGCCAUGACUGUGUAUCAGCAGCUGAAAGAAUUUGUGAGGGUGAAUGUAACUAUUUGCUCCGAAAAAACCUACAUAGCUCUUUUCACUCCUUUUGACGAGUAUCCAUGAAUACAUUUAAGUUUUAAAGAGCCCCAGAGUAGUUCUUACUGCUGUAUUUGACCAACGCAUUGUCUGGACUGCUCUCCAUUUGUAAGUGAUGAGAGCUUUUCCAUGCAGGCAGCCCAACCACUGGAAGGUCAGCAGUCUGAUGCUGGCUUCAAAACCACGAGAUUGGGAAGAGACACAGUCUGAACCACGGCACGCUUCCUCCCCAGCGCCUGCUCUCCUGACUGCACCAGCACUGCAGUUCCUGAUGCCAUUCUGAUAACAAAAGCAAUCUGGAUUCAGAGCAUCCUCUUCGUCACUUGGAUCAGCCCAGGGAGCCGCUGUGCAGCCCAGCCCCAGCAGCCGCUGCAGAGCUGCAUGGGGGGCGGCAGGGUGGGAGGCAGGCAUCCCCAGGCUGCAGCUCCCCUGUCUGCUGCUGGCAUGGGUAGCAGAGGGGAUUCCCCUGCGGUGCCUGAAACAGCGCUGCAGGGAAAGAUCCAACACAUCUGUGGGUUAUAUAUUAACAGUCAGCAGUGACCUUCUUGCAGCGUGGCGGAGUAACCGUCUCACUGAAGCACUGAUGAAGAAGUGGCAGCUCUUUCCGCUCCGCAGAGCGCAGGUGUUGGCACCGAGCAGAAGGCUGCCAGACCAUUUCCAUGCAAUGAUACCGUUACCAAUUGCUCCUUACUUUUUAAAAUGUGAAUACAUUGUUCUGAAGUUUUCGGUACUAAAUGAACGGCUGUUUGUUGCGGGGAACGGAAGGGAGACAACAGGAG
ensembl:lncRNA